UUUCCCCUGAGAGCUACAUGAGAGGGGGAGUGACGUCACCAAAGCAGGAUCGGGCUGCAGAGAGAACUUAGACUUGAUACAUAUUUGAGCUUUGGGACCUGUGAUAUACAUCUGUUCCAUUCAUGGUGAAACUGACCAAGCUGUUCUGAGAAGUGUACAUGGACCAUCUGUGCGCACGUGGGACUACAGUCUGUGGGUAGAUAAUAUUCUGCUACUAUCAAAUAGCUUUCAAGGACUUACCCACUUUGUGAACUGAUCUAUGAAAUUGAUCUUUUUCCUUACUCAGACAGCUGGUGACAUGUGCUGCUUAAUAAAGGUUGUUUCUGAGUUAGAACUUUUCCAGCAUCACAGCUGAUUAUUUUGUUUCUUCUAAUCAGUAAUCUCCACGAAAGUCCAGUUAAUUGCACAAAUAAAGACUCCAUAUGUCUUUA